CAAACGGGGAACUUGAAGCUGAACUCGGGCAGAGGUGAGUGGAGCCGGAGGAAAGGGCCCCGGUGCAAAGCGACACUCUCCCCACUCUUCUGACAAGUCCCCACACAGCCAUGUUGCCCUGUCUCUCAGUAGAGGACAUCAGGAGGUCUCUCGCUGUGACAGUGGGGCCACCACAAAGCAAAACCCUUUCUUCCCUUCCCUGCAUUCUCCUGGUGCUCUAGAAGAAACAAUUAAACCUCUUUGCUGCAUUGCUCACUUUACCUGGCACAUCACAGGCCUCAAGAAACACUUUCUGGACAUAUGAAUCAGCCUCAGUUUACUGGAGUGUCUGCAAUGUGAAGGACUAGGUCAGCUCACCAGUCAUUCUCCAGUAUUCUGUGUCUCCAAGAUCCUAUUCAGCCUUCCAAU